CCUAUUGUGGAACAAUAAAGGUUUUCUAUUCUAAUUAAUUGAGAGAGGUAACCAUGACUUCUGAGAUCACGCAUAACCAAGUUACUGUUUGAAAAUGUAAUCUACAUUAUACUUUCAAAGAAGAAUAAAUACUUCUGAUUUGGAAAAUUAACUUUAUGUUAUAAAUCACCACAGGCAAAAUAUGGCAUACUUAACCAUCUAAGAACUUGUAACAAAGAACAUUAAAAUAGAACCUAUUUCUGGUCAGGAAUAUCAAACCAUGGCAAAAUGUAUUUGCCUUUUGAUCUGGGCUUCUCAGAAAUUUUCCCCCAAAAUGUGUUGAUUCACAGCAUUCAGUCUGCUGUGUAUAACGCUGCAUGUGGUUGUAUUGUCUUCUUUUCAGACACAGUCUUCACUAUAUUUGCCAGGUCAUCAUAAAGCUCCCACACACAUGGAGCUCUUCGGCAGUAUGCAAUGUAAUGUCCCAGACCAUCUUUAGUCAAGCUUCCCUUGAAAGCGAUGACUCCUCUCAAAGAGAAUGUCUUUCCUUGGAGAGCAACAGUGGGGGGAAAUUCACUCAAAGGAAACUGAGUUGUGUUUGCAAGUGGGCGAAGGCAGGGAGACUCCGGAAGGAAGAGUCCAUUUUCCACUGAAAUGUCAAGCUGAGCCAUGCCACAGUCCAUCAGCACAGAAAUGUCAGGAGAAACAAAUGUGGCUGAGCUUGCUGUGAGGUUGGUGCUUUUGAAGAGGGGGACCAUUACUCCUGUCCAAAGUGCCGCGUAGGUCAGUCUGGAUCUCGUCAAAAGAAUCCACUUGAUGCAUUUCAUUUGGAUCUUCAGCUGGAAUGAUGAUGGAGUCUUCUGUGAUCUGGGCAGUCCCACUGACAGAUCAUCUUUAUGCAGUGUGCCACAUCAACCCUGAUAAAACAAGGAGGAAGUUUUGCAGACUGGUUCCCAAGUAGCAAACGGAAGCAUUCGUUAAUGUAUGUCUUCAGAUCGGGGUAAGGAGUGAAGGCCUUCACCAGAGCACCAAGAAUAGCCAGAGAAAAGUCACUCACUUCCUUUGGUAUAGCAGCACCUGUACGAAGCCAUUCUGUCAGCCAUGUUGCAAUUGCAUUAAUGUCGUGUCUCUCUGACAGCAUUUGCACAACUGGGACUGAGCAGUUGUCCCCUGUCAGAACACCUUGAUAUAAGAAGAUGUGGCCAGAUGUACCAUUUGGUCUCACCAGUCUUCUCACAACUGAGCCAGUUGCGUCAAAGCAAACUACUGAGGGGCAUUUUUUGGACAAUGCCUUAUACACAUGUAGCUGUGUUUGACUCCAAUAGUGGCAGAAGAACUUGUCUAGACCAAUGUCUCUUAUACUACCACUGUGAGGUGUGCUAUAUUUUAAUAACUGCAAAGACAAAAUGGGAUCUUUGUCACCUAAUUCCAAAUCUCUUCUCUCCUGCUUAGCUUUUCAUAGGGUGGCCAAAUUUGGAAGGUGACUUGGCUCAGCAUCUCCAAUAUCCAUCAAAUCUGAUGCCUUCGCUGACCUCCAUACAGCCGGCUCCAUCCUGCCCUCACACAGCUCUUUUGAAAUCUGUGCACGAAGGUUUCCAGACAUGAACCUCUUGGAUUGCCCAGUGUGCAGGGAGAUAUCAAUGUCUUCGAUGGAGCACUGAAGCAGCAUUUGGCUGUUUACCGUUGGCUCUCUAGCACAAGUCAUUUUAAUAUGGCCUUGACACUCUUUACAGAAGCCUUUGAUAUCUAUAUAUUUGUUUGUGACAGUUGGAUAAACCUUUGCUCUCUGGAACACAAAUGUACAUGUGCUUUUGAUCUUUUUCCAAAUCAGAUGGUUAAUUACAUGACUCCAAGUGCCAGGCUUCAAAAUCAUGUAUUCCCUUUUGCCAGAUGAUGAAACUUGUCAUUAUAUUCCACUUUCUCAGGUACAAAUUUGAUCCAUUCCUCAAAAGGAACUUCAAGCUGAAAACCUGAGCAGUCGUCUUGUCCAGGAGAAAUGGAGCCAGAGUCAAACUCUGUGUCCACACUGCUCUCACGAUCACUUUCCUGCUCACUGAUCUCCAAACAUGACCAGAUGUUGUGUCUGUUAGAUUUUACAAAAGUGUACAGGGCUUUUGGAGACAUCUUGUUUUCCAGCUGCUGACUUAAUACUGUCCAAAUAGUGGCAGCUGGAGUGGCUAUUUUGCCAUUUAGAAGGAUAUCCUCUUUUGAACUGCAGAGAACUGCAAUAAGGGAAUCCCUGUCUAUUGAUGGCUGUCGAGGCAUCUAGUUAAAGAACGAAAAGGCUUUGAUUAGCAUUAAUCAAAAUAUUAUUCUGGCCUAUAUAAUCUCCCAAAGCCACAAAACAUUGAUAUUUCAGCAUUCUAUCACAACUCAAAAACUCAGUUUAAAUUGUUCUCUCAAAUCUGUAUGCCAUUUAUGCUGUGUUGUAAUUAUAGUGUGUUUUUUAUUUUAUUUUAAAUGUUGAAUUUUUUACUACUACUUGUCUUGUGAAUUUUCAAUUGAAGUAUCUGUUCAACUUUAAAAAUGUGUCUUAGUUCUGUGGAGUCUACUGAUGUGCCUAAACAUCGAUGACUAAAAAUGAAUGGAAUAGCUGCAAAAUGAAA